rnacentral:rRNA from 1 species
AGUUAAAGCAUAGGAAUCUGCCCGGUAGUGGGGGAUAACCUGGGGAAACCCAGGCUAAUACCGCAUACGUCCUACGGGAGAAAGCAGGGGAUCUUCGGACCUUGCGCUAUCGGAUGAGCCUAUGUCGGAUUAGCUUGUUGGUGAGGUAAUGGCUCACCAAGGCGACGAUCCGUAGCUGGUCUGAGAGGAUGAUCAGCCACAUCGGGACUGAGACACGGCCCGAACUCCUACGGGAGGCAGCAGUGGGGAAUAUUGGACAAUGGGCGAAAGCCUGAUCCAGCCAUGCCGCGUGUGUGAAGAAGGCUUUCGGGUUGUAAAGCACUUUCAGUGAGGAAGAAGGCCUUGGGGCUAAUACCCCCGAGGAAGGACAUCACUCACAGAAGAAGCACCGGCUAACUCCGUGCCAGCAGCCGCGGUAAUACGGAGGGUGCGAGCGUUAAUCGGAAUUACUGGGCGUAAAGCGCGCGUAGGCGGCGUGAUAAGCCGGUUGUGAAAGCCCCGGGCUCAACCUGGGAACGGCAUCCGGAACUGUCAGGCUAGAGUGCAGGAGAGGAAGGUAGAAUUCCCGGUGUAGCGGUGAAAUGCGUAGAGAUCGGGGGGAAUACC